rnacentral:rRNA from 1 species
AUCAGAUUAGGUAGUUGGUGAGUAAAGGCUCACCAAGCCGACGAUCUGUAGCUGGUCUGANAGGACGACCAGCCACACUGGGACUGAGACACGGCCCAGACUCCUUACGGGAGGCAGCAGUGGGGAAUUUUUGGACAAUGGGCGCAAGCCUGAUCCAGCAAUGCCGCGUGCAGGAUGAAGGCCUUCGGGUUGUAAACUGCUUUUGUACGGAACGAAACGGUGAGCUCUAAUACAGUUUGCUAAUGACGGUACCGUAAGAAUAAGCACCGGCUAACUACGUG